rnacentral:lncRNA from 1 species
AACUGCCAAGAAGCUGAAUUCUCUCGAAGCGUGGUCACACAGCCUCAAAUUAAAUGUUCCAGCAUGUGGUAGCCUUCGCCACCUACACAGUGAUUAAUCAAAUACGAAGUGGC